rnacentral:rRNA from 1 species
GACGAACGCUGGCGGCGCGCCUAACACAUGCAAGUCGAGCGGAGAUAUUUGAAGGAAGUUUUCGGAUGGAAUUUGGGUAUUUUAGCGGCGGACGGGUAAGUAACGCGUGAGUGACCUGCCUUCCACAGGGGGAUAACGUACCGAAAGGUACACUAAUACCGCAUGAGACCACAGCACUGCCUGGUGCAGGGGUCAAAGGAGCAAUCCGGUGGAAGAUGGACUCGCGUCCGAUUAGAUAGUUGGUGGGGUAACGGCCUACCAAGUCAGCGAUCGGUAGCCGACCUGAGGGGGUGAUCGGCCACAUUGGAACUGAGAGACGGUCCAAACUCCUACGGGAGGCAGCAGUGGGGAAUAUUGGGCAAUGGGGGAAACCCUGACCCAGCGACGCCGCGUGAGGGAAGAAGGUUUUCGGAUUGUAAACCUCUGUUCUUGGUGAAGAGGGAAAGACGGUAGCCAAGGAGGAAGCCCCGGCUAACUACGUGCCAGCCGCCGCCGUAA